rnacentral:rRNA from 1 species
GACGAACGCUGGCGGCGUGCUUAACACAUGCAAGUCGAACGAAGUGGCGAACGGGUGAGUAACGCGUAAUCAACCUGCCCUUCAGAGGGGGACAACAGUUGGAAACGACUGCUAAUACCGCAUACUGAUGGAGGAGAUGGCGUCUGAUUAGCUAGCUGGAGGGGUAACGGCCCACCAAGGUGAGGAUCAGUAGCCGGUCUUGGAGGAUGGACGGCCACAUUGGGACUGGGACACGGGCCAGACUCCGACGGGGGGCAGCAGUUGGGAAACUUUCGCAAUGGAGGGAAGGCUGACGGAGCAACGCCGCGGUGGUGAUGACGGGCUUCCGGUUGGAAAGCUCUGUUAAGCGGGACGCGGUACCGGAAGAGAAAGCAACGGCUAACUACGUGCCAGCAGCCGCGGUAAUUC